AGUGAACGCUGGCGGCGUGCCUAAUACAUGCAAGUCGACGAAUAUGGCGCACGGGUGAGUAAUAUAUAGCUACUCUGCCCCUUGCUGGAGGACAACAGUUAGAAAUGACUGCUAAUACUCCCUAGUGAUGAGACUAUAUCGUAUCAGCUAGUCGGUGGGGCAACGGCCUACCGAGGCUAUGACGCGUAACUGGUCUGAGAGGAUGAUCAGUCCAAUUGGAACUGAGACACGGCCCAGACUCCUACGGGAGGCAGCAGUAGGGAAUCAUCGGCAAUGGAGGAAAAUCUGACCGAGAAACGCCGCGUGAGUGAAGAAGGUUUUCGGAUCAUAAAACUCUGUUGUUAAAGAAGCGGUAUCUAACCAGAAAGCCACGGCUAACAACGUGCCAGCAGCCGCGGUAAUAC
rnacentral:rRNA from 1 species